rnacentral:rRNA from 1 species
GUUGGAUGGGGCGCAGCCUGAUCCAGCAUGCCGCGUGCGUGAAGAAGGCCUUCGGGUUGUAAACUGCUUUUGUCAGGGAAGAAAAGGUGGGGGCUAAUAUCCCUGGCUCAUGACGGUACCUGAAGAAUAAGCACCGGCUAACUACGUGCCAGCAGCCGCGGUAAUACGUAGGGUGCAAGCGUUAAUCGGAAUUACUGGGCGUAAAGCGUGCGCAGGCGGUUUUGUAAGACUGAUGUGAAAUCCCCGGGCUCAACCUGGGAACUGCAUUUGAGACUGCAAGGCUAGAGUGUGGCAGAGGGGGAUGGAAUUCCGCGUGUAGCAGUGAAAUGCGUAGAUAUGCGGAGGAACACCGAUGGCGAAGGCAAUCCCCUGGGCCUGGACUGACGCUCAUGCACGAAAGCGUGGGGAGCAAACAGGAUUAGAUACCCUGGUAGUCCACGCCCUAAACGAUGUCAACUGGUUGUUGGGUCUUAUUUGACUCGGUAACGAAGCUAACGCGUGAAGUUGACCGCCUGGGGAGUACGGCCGCAAGGUUAAAACUCAAAUGAAAUUGACGGA